GAGGCCGGUAAUAAUACAACCAAUGCAAUGUAGGCCGGCUGCAAUGGGGGCGGGGGCUAGGGUUGAUUGGCAGAGCGUGCUCCUAUCGCUGAGGCCAUUGUUCCUGGGUUGUCCCGGGGCUGAGGGGAGGAACCGAGCGGCUAGUUUUUUCUGAAGACUGCCUCUUCGACCUUCAAGGGCCAGGAGACGAAGGAGAGGUGGCCGGCGGGAAUUCCGAGGGACUGGCCUUCCGGUACCCGCGGAACAGGUGUUGCUGCCAGACCCGGCAGCGCGCACGUUCCUGACCCGGUCUGGCCCGGCCCAGGCUGGCAGCCAAGUCCCCGGCGUCUGUGCUCGGGACACCAGUCCUCGGCCAGGACGUGCAGCUCCGGAACCCGCGCUGGCGACCUUGACCAUCUCGGCAGGCUGUAUCCCCCGGAGGGAAACAUGGGUGGGCCGCCCGCCUUGGUGUCAGACAGGAGACAGCCUACUAAAAAAACGUUACCUCUGGUUGAAAAGGUACCUGCCCACCGUGGGCCAUGAACAACAUUUUCCUCGAAGAUGGCAAGUCCAACACUGAAGAAUUGAUUCAACGCUGCCUCCCUGCUGAAUGAAUAAUUCAAGCAAAAGACUUGAGAGGUGAACAUUGCCCAGACAAGAGAGCAGCCAGGUAAAGUGAGUGUCCAGGGAAAGCGCAAUAAGGGUCAAAAGAAAAAUGGGCUGGUAUUCUCCCUGCCUCCU